UACGUAGGGUGCAAGCGUUAAUCGGAAUUACUGGGCGUAAAGCGUGCGCAGGCGGUUCUAUAAGACAGAUGUGAAAUCCCCGGGCUCAACCUGGGAACUGCAUUUGUGACUGUAGAGCUGGAGUGCGGCAGAGGGGGAUGGAAUUCCGCGUGUAGCAGUGAAAUGCGUAGAUAUGCGGAGGAACACCGAUGGCGAAGGCAGCCUCCUGGGCCAGCACUGACGCUCAUGCACGAAAGCGUGGGGAGCAAACAGG
rnacentral:rRNA from 1 species